rnacentral:sRNA from 1 species
GAUGACUGCCCGAAGACAGCAGGUGCCGUAAGGCAUAAGGGUGAUACGCCUGCCGAGGAAAGCAUUCGAUUAAGAAUGACUUAUGAACCCUCUGUGUCUGCGGCACAGAGGGUUUUUUAAUC